rnacentral:rRNA from 1 species
UGAGCCAAGUUUAGGGUUUUCUCAAAACCCAAGCAGUAUUGAACUGAAGAGUUUGAUCAUGGCUCAGAUUGAACGCUGGCGGCAGGCCUAACACAUGCAAGUCGAGCGGAUGAAGGGAGCUUGCUCCUGGAU